CACACACACUUGUGCCAGGGACUGAGCGGUCCUGCCCUAUGAGGUUGGCUUUGAGACUACAUGAGAUUAGAGAGACACAUGGGGAGAAGGGCUGGCUUCAUGACACAAGUCUGGUCAAUGAGACAAAGGGGAUGUCUGCUGAGGAUUCUCAGAAAAGAUUUGCCUUGUCCUCUUCUUCUGGUCUUGAACCUAGAUGUGCUGGCUGAAGGUGACACCAAAGACCUGCUCUGCCCCCUCAUGACCUGUGACAUGGCACUACCACGCAUAGAAGGACGUUAACGCACAGAUAUAAUUAACACGCUCCGU